AGCUCGAGUCUCAGGAUGGUGUGCCCCAGGAAACACCGAUCCCGGACGAGCCCCCAAAUGCAAGAUCCCCUAAGAGAGACCCUUUCUAAAGUCGUGGGAAAUCGUGGACCCCAGACACAGAGAGACCA
rnacentral:pre_miRNA from 14 species